rnacentral:rRNA from 1 species
GUGGGGAAUAUUGGGCAAUGGGGGAAACCCUGACCCAGCAACGCCGCGUGAAGGAAGAAGGCUUUCGGGUUGUAAACUUCUUUUAUGAGGGACGAAGAAGUGACGGUACCUCAUGAAUAAGCCACGGCUAACUACGUGCCAGCAGCCGCGGUAAUACGUAGGUGGCAAGCGUUGUCCGGAUUUACUGGGUGUAAAGGGCGCGUAGGCGGGAUAGUAAGUCAGGUGUGAAAUCCGGGGGCUUAACCCUCGAACUGCACUUGAAACUGUUAUUCUUGAGUGAUGGAGAGGCAAGCGGAAUUCCUAGUGUAGCGGUGAAAUGCGUAGAUAUUAGGAGGAACACCAGUGGCGAAGGCGGCUUUCUGGACUGUAACAGGCACUGAGGCACGAAAGCGUGGGGAGCAAACAGGAUUAGAAACCCCGGUAGUCC